AUACGGAGGAUCCGAGCGUUAUCCGGAUUUAUUGGGUUUAAAGGGUGCGCAGGCGGCCAUUUAAGUCAGCGGUUAAAUCGUGGGGCUCAACCCCAUUCUGCCGUUGAUACUGGGUGGCUUGAUUGCGGUCGAGGUUGGCGGAAUUCGUUGUGUAGCGGUGAAAUGCAUAGAUAUGACGAAGAACACCGAUUGCGUGGGCAGCUGACCAGACCGCAAAUGACGCUCAUGCACGAAAGUGCGGGGAUCGAACAGGAUUAGAUACCCUGGUAGUCCGCACAGUAAACGAUGAAUACUUGUUUUCGGCGAUAUAAUGUCGGAGGCAAAGCGAAAGCGAUAAGUAUUCCACCUGGGGAGUACGCCGGCAACGGUGAAACUCAAAGGAAUUGGCGGGG
rnacentral:rRNA from 1 species